UACGGGGGGAGCAAGCGUUGUUCGGAUUUACUGGGCGUAAAGGGCGCGUAGGCGGCGUGACAAGUCACUUGUGAAAUCCCCGGGCUUAACCCGGAGCGGCCAAGUGAUACUGUCGUGCUAGAGUGCGGAAGGGGCUACUGGAAUUCUCGGUGUAGCAGUGAAAUGCGUAGAGAUCAUGAGGAAGACCAGUGGCGAAGGCGGGUCUCUGGACAGUUCCUGACACUGAGGCACGAAGGCCAGGGGAGCAAACGGG
rnacentral:rRNA from 1 species